rnacentral:rRNA from 1 species
UGGGGAAUCUUGGACAAUGGGCGCAAGCCUGAUCCAGCCAUGCCGCGUGAGUGAAGAAGGCCUUCGGGUUGUAAAGCUCUUUUGUCAGGGACGAUAAUGACGGUACCUGAAGAAUAAGCCCCGGCAAACUUCGUGCCAGCAGCCGCGGUAAUACGAAGGGGGCUAGCGUUGUUCGGAAUUACUGGGCGUAAAGCGCACGUAGGCUGAUAGUUAAGUGAGGGGUGAAAUCCCGAGGCUCAACCUCGGAACUGCCCUUCAUACUGGCUAUCUCGAGUCCGGAAGAGGUUAGUGGAAUUCCCAGUGUAGAGGUGAAAUUCGUAGAUAUUGGGAAGAACACCAGUGGCGAAGGCGGCUAACUGGUCCGGUACUGACGCUGAGGUGCGAAAGCGUGGGGAGCAAA